rnacentral:rRNA from 1 species
UACGUAGGUGGCAAGCGUUGUCCGGAUUUAUUGGGCGUAAAGCGAGCGCAGGCGGAAGAAUAAGUCUGAUGUGAAAGCCCCCGGCUUAACCGGGGAAGGUCAUCGGAAACUGUUUUUCUUGAGUGCAGAAGAGGAGAGUGGAACUCCAUGUGUAGCGGUGGAAUGCGUAGAUAUAUGGAAGAACACCAGUGGCGAAGGCGGCUCUCUGGUCUGUAACUGACGCUGAGGCUCGAAAGCAUGGGUAGCGAAC